rnacentral:rRNA from 1 species
CUCCGCCGGCGACCGGCGCACGGGUGAGUAACGCGUAUGCAACCUGCCCGUUUCAGCGGGAUAACCCGGAGAAAUCCGGCCUAAUACCGCAUGUGGCCGAGGGGAGGCAUCUUCUUUCGGCCAAAGGAGGCGACUCCGGAGACGGAUGGGCAUGCGUGACAUUAGCUAGUUGGCGGGGUAACGGCCCACCUAACCGACGAUGCGUAGGGGUUCUGAGAGGAAGGUCCCCCACACUGGUACUGAGACACGGACCAGACUCCUACGGAAGGCAGCAG